rnacentral:tRNA from 1 species
GGGGUUGUGGCUCAGUUGGUAGAGCACUUGCCUAGCACGUGUGAGGCACUGGGUUCGAUUCUCAGCACCA